rnacentral:rRNA from 1 species
UACAGAGGUCUCAAGCGUUGUUCGGAUUCAUUGGGCGUAAAGGGUGUGUAGGUGGCGCGCUAAGUCGGGUGUGAAAUUUCGGAGCUUAACUCCGAAACUGCAUUCGAUACUGGCGUGCUUGAGGACUGGAGAGGAGACUGGAAUUCAUGGUGUAGCAGUGAAAUGCGUAGAGAUCAUGAGGAAGACCAGUGGCGAAGGCGGGUCUCUGGACAGUUCCUGACACUGGGACACGAAGGCCAGGGGAGCAAACGGG